rnacentral:rRNA from 1 species
GGAGCGGCGGAGGGUGAGUACGUGGGUAACCUGCCUGUAAGACUGGGAUAACUCCGGGAAACCGGAGCUAAUACCGGAUAGUUCCUUGAACCGCAUGGUUCAAGGAUGAAAGACGGUUUCGGCUGUCACUUACAGAUGGACCCGCGGCGCAUUAGCUAGUUGGUGAGGUAACGGCUCACCAAGGCGACGAUGCGUAGCCGACCUGAGAGGGUGAUCGGCCACACUGGGACUGAGACACGGCCCAGACUCCUACGGGAGGCAGCAGUAGGGAAUCUUCCGCAAUGGACGAAAGUCUGACGGAGCAACGCCGCGUGAGUGAUGAAGGUUUUCGGAUCGUAAAGCUCUGUUGUUAGGGAAGAACAAGUGCAAGAGUAACUGCUUGCACCUUGACGGUACCUAACCAGAAAGCCACGGCUAACUACGUGCCAGCAGCCGCGGUAAUACGUAGGUGGCAAGCGUUGUCCGGAAUUAUUGGGCGUAAAGGGCUCGCAGGCGGUUUCUUAAGUCUGAUGUGAAAGCCCCCGGCUCAACCGGGGAGGGUCAUGG